rnacentral:lncRNA from 1 species
GGAAGUUUCAGGGCCACCAGCAGGGUUGGCCUGGUCCUCAGUGUGCUAGGUUCUUGGCAAGUCCCAUCCACUUGGGCAGGACAUGCAAGCACUGGUUAAGGUCACCGGCUCAUAGGGAGGACAGCCUGUGUUGGAACCUCACAGCUACCAAAACUGUGUGACCUUGGGCAAGUUACUCAAUCUCUCUGAGAAUGAAUGAGACUAAUAAUCGUGCCUCCCUCAUAGCAUUAUUUUAGGAUUCAAUAAGAUAAGGCAUAGGAAGCCCUUGGCAGUGAGUCGCACCUGGGCAGAGCUCAAUCAACGCACACUCUUAUUUUUAUUAUAUUACUACAACACCAGAGGCCUGCCUACAGUCCAGGAUGCCUCAAGGCACUGCAACUCAAAGCGUGGUCUGCCGUCCUGCGGCGGCGGCAGCAGCUGGGAGCCUACCCCACUUUACACCUUCUGAACCAGAAUCUCUGGGGUUGGGGCUGCAGUUUACCAAGCUCUCCCAUGAUUUAUAUGCUCGCAAAGUUGAGAACCACUGCCGUAAAGUGUCUUUGCGUUAACCUCAGCUCCAGACGGCAACGUCUCCAAGCCAUAACCUUGCAGCUGUGAGAAACGAAGGGAGGAAAGAAGAUAAAGCAGAAGCAGCGAGGUUUGGGGAGGGAGGCGUUGGUCCCUGGGGAUGCUCUCUGGCCACUGGGACCUAGACUCUGUUGAGAGGCGCCGGCGACUCUUUCCAUAAACCUGGGCAGACCCCUGAGCCACACCUGUCUGGAAGAUUUGAAGAUGCAAAGAAAGAGGACUCCGUCCUCCAGAGCUCCUCCCUCAGCCCAGUCCUCAUCACUGGCUCUGUCUGCCCGUGCGAUCCCAUUUGCGCCCAUCGCUUCGACCGUUGCGAGUCUACAUCUGGAGCCUUUACGUCUCUCGGGAACUCCAGGUAAGUACUUUUAAUCUCCGACAGCACUUUCUACCUAGAGGCCACUCAGUCACCUCUGACUUAAAAUGCCCAACACAGAUGCAGUUAUCUUCCUGUCUCACACCUGAUUUUCUCUCUGGGUUCCUUGUCCUGUUGAAUGACUUCUUCCACAUUUCCUUCCCCACCCCCACCACCUUACGCUCCAACUGCAUUCAACUAGCAGCACAUUCUCAAAUGUGUGCUGAAUUUUCCCAUCUCCAUGGCUUCAAUAUCACCUGCACCGGAAUCCUUCUCAGCUAAUGUCUACCCACAAAUUGCCUAAUUGUCCUUCUUCCUCUUUCUAGCAAAUGGCACCACUGUCCAUCUAGUUGCUGAAACCCCAAAUCUAGGCAUGUCCUAGCCUCCCUGCUUUUUCUCACCCAUAUCUAGCAGGACAGCAGCAAGUCUUGCUGUCUCUCUUCCACGUGGGUCUAGCAUCCCUCUCAUUCUUUCUAUCUUCUCUGCCACCUCCUUAACCCAAGUCACUAACAACUCUAACCCCCACUGUGAUGGAGCUUCCUAGCACGUCUCCCUGCCUCCAUCCUCUCUUCGCCCAGCAACUGGAACCAUCUUUCUAAACUACAGAAAAUAUCACUCCCCAGCUUUGACUCUGCCAAUCCACCUUUCCAUCUUUCUUAGAAUAAAAUCCAAACACCUAAUCUACAAGGACUUCCAUGAUCUGGGCCCCGUGGGGCUUUCUACCACAUCCACUCUCAUUUUGUCACAUGGGUCUUCAUUCUGUUCCUUAAACUCACCCAGCUCGUUCCCAUCUCAGGGCCUUUGCACUUGCCAUUUCCUCCCUCUGGGCUCUCCUCCCCCAGAUCUGCAUGUGGCUGACCCCUUCGACAUUUCGGGAGAAGACCGCCUACCCAAAAGAGCCCUUCCUUGUCACUUCCUAUCAUAUUAUUAGCUGAUGCCACUUUCUUUUCUUCUUAGCACUUAUUGGUCACUGAAAAUACCUUGUUUAUUUAUUUGUGUCUGAGAGCAGUGACUGUAGCUGCUGCUUGCCCAGUGCCUAGAACAGUGCCAGGUCAGAAUAGACACUCAGUAGACAUUGGUUGAAUAAAUGUCUGAAGUGCCUUUCCAAAUUUUCUAGUUAGAAUAAACUCCUUUGCCUUUCUACCUUGUGAUAGGUUGGGUUCUAAGGAAAUAGGCUCUGAGGCAGAGAUUUGCACGUGGGAAACGUUGUGG